GAAAUGCGAUAAGUAAUGUGAAUUGCAGAAUUCAGUGAAUCAUCGAAUCUUUGAACGCACCUUGCGCUCCUUGGUAUUCCUUGGAGCAUGCCUGUUUGAGUAUCAUGAAAUCUUCAAAGUAAAUCUUUUGUUAACUCAAUUAGUUUCUACUUUGGUAUUGGAGGUCUUUGCAGCUUCACACCUGCUCCUCUUUGUUCAUUAGCUGGAUCUCAGUGUUAUGCUUGGUUCCACUCGGCGUGAUAAGUUAUCUAUCGCUGAGGACACUGUAAAAGGUGGCCAAGGUAAAUGCAGAUGAACCGCUUCUAAUAGUCCAUUGACUUGGACAAUACUUUUAUGAUCUGAUCUCAAAUCAGGUAGGACUACCCGCUGAACUUAAGC
rnacentral:misc_RNA from 1 species